UCUAAUAUGGCAGAAUAGUGCACUGGACUUAAACCCCAACAAUAAAGUUUAAACUUUUUUUAGAA
rnacentral:tRNA from 1 species